GUCCACGCCGUAAACUAUGGAUGCUAGCUGUUAGAAGUAUCGACCCUUCUAGUAGCGAAGCUAACGCGUUAAGCAUCCCGCCUGUGGAGUACGGUCGCAAGACUAAAACAUAAAGGAAUUGACGGGGACCCGCACAAGCGGUGGAGCGUGUUGUUUAAUUCGAGGAUAAGCGAAGAACCUUACCCAGACUUGACUUCCUUGGAAGUUCUGCGAAAGCAGAGUGUGCCUUCGGGAACCAAGUGACAGGUGUUGCAUGGCCGUCUU
rnacentral:rRNA from 1 species